rnacentral:rRNA from 1 species
UACGUAGGGACCAAGCGUUGUUCGGAUUUACUGGGCGUAAAGGGCGCGUAGGCGGCUUAACAAGUCACUUGUGAAAUCUCCGGGCUUAACUCGGAACGGCCAAGUGAAACUGUCAAGCUAGAGUGCAGAAGGGGCAAUCGGAAUUCUUGGUGUAGCGGUGAAAUGCGUAGAUAUCAAGAGGAACACCUGAGGUGAAGACGGUUUGCUGGGCUGACACUGACGCUGAGGCGCGAAAGCCAGGGGAGCAAACGGG